rnacentral:rRNA from 1 species
UCCAGACUCCUACGGAGGCAGCAGUGGGGAAUAUUGGGCAAUGGGCGCAAGCCUGACCCAGCAACGCCGCGUGAAGGAAGAAGGCUUUCGGGUUGUAAACUUCUUUUGACAGGGAAGAGCAGAAGACGGUACCCGUCGAAUAAGCCACGGCUAACUACGUGCCAGCAGCCGCGGUAAUACGUAGGUGGCAAGCGUUGUCCGGAUUUACUGGGUGUAAAGGGAGCGUAGACGGCCAAGCAAGCCAGGGGUGAAAGCCCGGGGCCCAACCCCGGGACUGCCCUUGGAACUGCAUGGCUGGAGUGCGGGAGGGGCAGGCGGAAUUCCUGGUGUAGCGGUGAAAUGCGUAGAUAUCAGGAGGAACACCGGCGGCGAAGGCGGCCUGCUGGACCGCGACUGACGUUGAGGCUCGAAAGCGUGGGGAGCGAACAGGAUUAGAUACCCCGGUA